rnacentral:rRNA from 1 species
UACGAAGGGGGCUAGCGUUGUUCGGAAUUACUGGGCGUAAAGCGUGCGCAGGCGGCCAUCCAAGUCAGUGGUGAAAGCCCGGAGCUCAACUCCGGAACUGCCAUUGAAACUGUUUGCUCGAGUACGAGAGAGGUGAGUGGAAUUCCCAGUGUAGAGGUGAAAUUCGUAGAUAUUGGGAAGAACACCGGUGGCGAAGGCGGCUCACUGGCUCGUAACUGACGCUCAUGCACGCACGUGGGGAUCAAACAGG